AUACUAUUUUAACAUUUGCAGGUCGUGUUGGGGUAAAAAUUGUUUCAAAGAAAAUUCGCCAAGCUGUUGGGAAAGCCAAUCGUAGACAUCAGGCAAAACAAAUAAGAGAGAACAGAAAAGAGGAAGUACUAGAACAGAGAAGGAAAACAGGAAAGCAAGGAAGCCCACCACAUCUUAUUGCAAUUAUUCCAUUAUCAUCCAACUGUGAUGCUGGGCAGGCCGUGCAGUUAUUUAGUGAGUGUGAUAGUGAUGGGUUACUUUAUCCUUCAAGGAACACAACAACCUUAGUUUCUGAGCAACUCAAGCAAAGAUUUUCAUUCCUUCAGUUGAAGUAUAGGGACUUGUACUCUGUUCUGGAUGCAGCAAAGGUUGCUGAUUCUCUGCUGUUUCUUCUCUCCGCCACACAUCCAGUGGAUUCAUUUGGUGAGAAGUGUCUGUCGUGUAUCUUUGCGCAAGGCUUACCAACAUAUUUUCUUGGAUUGCAGGGUUUGGAGAAAAUAUCAACAAAGAAAAGGAAUGAUGUAAAGAAACAAGUUCAAAAGAUAGUAGAAAAAAGGUAUGCUAAAUUUUAGUUUUUGGAGAUGUAAUACUCAGCAUUUUCAGCUUAAAUUAUAGUAAAAAGGGUUUAAUCACUAGCUGUUAGACUUUGAUUUCAGUUUUUUUUAAGCUAACCAUAAAUAAUGUAAAGGAUGCUCUGAA